CCUCCCGGGGUCAAGAAUCCCGGUGUCUUCGCGUGAUUCAACAACCUUUCAUUAGCACGACUGAAGCGACUUAGCAGAGAAAGCAGAGAGAGAGAAGGCAUACCACCACCACCAAGUGGUAAAGUUCCCCGCUGGAUACUGAAUUAGCUAUUUCCUGUCUGGGCUGGAGCAAGAAGGAAUGGGCAGAGAGGAAGAGAUUUCUUCCAGUGUCCCAGCAUCGGAAGGGAAUGAAUGUCUUUCCUGACCUCCUGGGUGGUAUGAUGGGGAGAAGAGAAAAGUCCCUCGACAUUCCUUUCCUACCACCACUUGGUUUGGGUGACAUCUAUCUUCACAUAAAAGUUCUUGAUUGAAAAUCUACACAUCAUAGUAUUAGGGGUAAAAAUCUCUGGAAGAAGAAAAUCAGAAUCUAUACAAAUAAAAUGUUAAUAAUGGCUAUCUUUGAA